rnacentral:rRNA from 1 species
GAUGAACGCUGGCGGCGUGCCUAAUACAUGCAAGUCGAGCGAACAGGUGAGGAGCUUGCUCCUCUGACGUUAGCGGCGGACGGGUGAGUAACACGUGGAUAACCUACCUAUAAGACUGGGAUAACUUCGGGAAACCGGAGCUAAUACCGGAUAAUAUAUUGAACCGCAUGGUUCAAUAGUGAAAGACGGUUUUGCUGUCACUUAUAGAUGGAUCCGCGCCGCAUUAGCUAGUUGGUAAGGUAACGGCUUACCAAGGCAACGAUGCGUAGCCGACCUGAGAGGGUGAUCGGCCACACUGGAACUGAGACACGGUCCAGACUCCUACGGGAGGCAGCAGUAGGGAAUCUUCCGCAAUGGGCGAAAGCCUGACGGAGCAACGCCGCGUGAGUGAUGAAGGUCUUCGGAUCGUAAAACUCUGUUAUUAGGGAAGAACAAAUGUGUAAGUAACUAUGCACGUCUUGACGGUACCUAAUCAGAAAGCCACGGCUAACUACAUG